AAAAUGGCUACAGCCAGCACUGCUUUUACUUUCUUUUAAAAACACAUUAUAUGUAAGUAUUCUAAUGGACCUUGGCUUACAAACAGUCAAUCAGAAAAGCAGUCUCUUAACCUAUGAUGUUAUGCAGUUUUAAGAGGUGUUUAAAGUCACGUCCUUGUUUGUUUUAUGUCUCAAAUCUAUUAAUUAGAGGUAAACUCCAUUUUUUUUAUUGUGGGUUACAUUGCUGGUCUCCUGUUUUACAAAUGAGUGUGUAGAGAAAUUGAUUUAGGAUAUGUCAAGUUGAGAUGAAACAGAUACUUGAUGCGUGAUUUUGCUUUAAUAUUUGCCAAAACUUUCGAGAUCAAAUCUGGUGCUGCUUGUUUUAAAAGGAGAACAUUUUGAUCGUCUGCUUUUUUUAUUUUUCCGUUGUUAAAUCAGGAUUGCUGAAUUAUAUUGACACAGAAACAUAACAAAACCAGAUAAAAAACUGACGGAUGCUUCAGUUUACUGUGAAUAAAUGUAAGUCCAUAGAAGGUCGAGCCUGAGUGAGUCUGAGCAGUGAGACCUUCCUGGUUUAUGUUCCCAUCUCAGAUUGCACGCUGCUCUGUAAUCCUGCGGUAAUCCAGUUUUAUGGAAGAGAAGGGGCAGAUUAUCUGCUCUUCCUGCCAUCGCGAUAACUGGUCCAGGUAUUCCAACGCCAGUCGAACGUUAUAUUUCAAGGAGGGUCUGUGUGUUUAGACAAAACUUCAACCCGUCUUUGAAACAUUCUGUUCUCUUCUCCGCCUCAGGAUUAUGAAGACUUCUUCCAGUCGAAGGAGAACAACACUGUGUUUACGUUCCUCGGGCUCAGCUCCAAACCUAAUGUGAAAGCUGCGGAGUCUUAGAUCAAACUGCCAGCUGGAGUCGUCCGUGCUGAACUUCCUGCUUCGCGUCACCUCAUUUCUGAUGAUUCUCCUUCGACACUGCCAGCAUUUUGUGGAACGGAUCAUCUCUUUCUGACCUCACCUGGUUUCUCUGGAGCGACGGGGACUUGAACCCCGCAGGACUGACUUUGAGAUGGUUGCGUUUUGUUGUAAUGCCUGACCCGCUGCAGCAGAUAUGCUGUGCAAGCCAGAGACCCACGUAGCAGCUUUCGCACCAGUGCCCUUUUUGAAAAUCUAAAUGCAGUGGAUGAGAGGAUCAUGUGCUGCUUUAUUCACCUGAUUACACACUUCCUGGUGUGUGUGUGUGCAUUUUCAGUUAGCUGGUAUUACAGUCGGUUAUGUGAGGAUACUUAUUGUAAUAUAAUGCUGUAUAAGCAAGGACUUUGUUGCUUUGGUGCUCGACUAUUUGUGUGUAUGGGACCAAAAACUAAAAAUAUUCUGUUUAAAUAGCAACGACUGCCAGCAUACAUUGUAGCCACAUGUAUCUAAUCAAAGUGUGCUUUAAUGCCAAAUAGUUUCAGUCAAGUAUAUUAUAUUAUUUGUAAAUGUUUCGAUGAUAACUCCAUUUAUCCCUCAACACUUUCCCACACUGUGAUGGUGGCCCCCAAACACCAGGUUUGCAGUGCAGUAGAUGUGUCAGGUCUCUUUACACUGCAGAAUGUCAAGACAAACAUGCUAAAGAACAAAUAUUUGUUUUCCAUGUUAUGAGAAAUAUGUCCAAACUUUUCUUUACUUUUUCAGUUUGUUUUUUUGUGCUUUCACCUUGCAUCACCAGGUAGUUACGCCACAUCAAGUCACCUCCACUGUUUUGUAAUCACAUGAUCAAAAACAAUUAUUGUUUUGCCGAUUUGACUCCUUUCUAUCUUGACAAAUUGUGAUAUUGUUGUAUUUUUAAGAAGUAUGUUUGACCACAAAAGAAGAAAAAAAGUACUUCACCUUUCUGCCUACUUAUACUUCUUAAGCUAAUAAAAUUGUACUCGGUAGCACAAUACUUUGUGAAUUGCAUCAACUUAUGUUGCUUCUUUGUUUUGUUGUGGGCAUGUUAUAAAACUAAUUCUUUCAAAA